UCAUAUUUACCCUCCGACUUUGAGCACCCUUCUCACAAACUGACAAACAAAACAACAUACAUGGAAGACUAAGACGGCCGUUAUGUCAUGUUUUCUCUUCAUUCACAGAGAAUGCAAGUGAGGAUCAUCGUGGAAUUAGUGAUUCAGUACCAGGUGGAUAAUUAAGAAGGAGUUAAACAUAAAAUUGCAGAAGAGCAAAGUUCUAGGAGAUAUGUAGCGGAUGAGGUUAAUCGUCAUGAUAUGGAAAUUUAUUUGGUGGUGAGAAGAACGUUGGAUACGGGGCAGAGAAAUUAAGAUUGUCAAGAUACCCGUGAGAUG